ensembl:lncRNA
GAGACGGGAAGGAGGAAAGAGAGGAGAGAGAAAGUACACUGUGGUAACAUGAAUAGGAAAAAAGAAAUUUCCACUUAUGCUUUAUCUAUGGCUCACAUUUUGACCAUUUCAUAAUCAUUCUUUCGUAUGCUUUGUGGAAGAGACGUAUUAAGGGAUUUGAAAAACUCAUUUACUAUCCUGGCAUUCUGUUGAUAAGAAAUUUACCCUUUUGUUUUCCCCAGAAAAAAAUCUAACAACUCUGGACUGUUGACAAACAUUCCCUUUUGCGGUCGCAACUCGUCUUGAAGCCAAAAUGAGCCUUUGCCCUCUGAUGGGAAUGAAGCAGCAAGCCGCCAAGCCACACAACGGAAGCCUGAAAUGAGAUGACUUGGGCAAUUUGCACAAGAGUUUCCUACUUUAAAUAAUUAGAGUCACUAUCCCUGGGGGCAUUUGCUUAUUGGCUGCCUUAACAGUCUUCUUCUUCUUUUUUUUUUUUUUUAAAGCAAGUCUCUUAAAGAUACUGCUCUUGAUCUUACACGCACUUGCCAAGACUUGUCUUAUUCUUAUAGUACUGAUGUUCUACUGUUCAAAAGUUAGGAAGGAGCUGAUUCUGAGCUGGAAACAAGGGCAGCAGAAGAUAGAGAUAGUAGGCUCAUUUUGUGCAUGAGUCCCAGAGAGAGAGAGUGCCAGCCAUUGCAGGAGAGGACUAAGACUGACAUUUCAAGGAUUAGCGUAAAAGAAUAGAAGGAAAGUGUGAAGAAUGAAAAUGCUGCCAAUAAAGAACAAAAAAGCACCCAGGCCUGCCCAGCAUGAAACUGUAAGCGAACCCAGCCUUCUGUGUCAGCUGGGAGACUUCUCCCGUGGACCAUGCACCAUUGGACCUCACAAGUCUCUUGUGAUCGUACUGACUCCGUCUUCACGGCCCUGGCUGUCAUUCUGCUCCAGGCGGCAAACGCAGCUUCUGAGUCGGGGGCAGAAGUUGAUACAAGGGCAGAUGGCCCCACCAGGCGGCCCCCGUGCAGGAGGAGCAGCCCCUUCAGAAGACGUUCUCUCAACAGAGCAUUCCAGUGGUAGUUCCCCCUUUUCUAUCUUUAUCCUUUUCGAUAGUGACAGGAUCCUGGCCUCCUGUGCUGUGGCAGGAAUGUUUUUUUGAUGAGGGUAAGCAUAUUCACAGAGUCGUUUAUAUCCAUCUAGUUUCGGGCCUUUGGUGCUCAGUUUUAGCUGCUGGCACCAAGCACGAAUGACGUCCCGAUGGACCAGGUUGACAGGCGGCAGGACAGCAGGUAGAGGGGGAUGGGGAUCCGCGUCGGUGUCUUCGGGGGUUUCACACCGUCACAACGUUGUGGCGUGUCUCCUGGCCGCAAGCUGUGCUAUUUUUUGUGUCUCUUUUUCUUCUGGUCCCCUGUGCUGAAUUUUAUGCUAUCUCUGCUUCACCAGAAGUUCCCUGUCCCUUUUCAGCUUCUACUGAUGUAAGUCUGCAACUCAUAGGUUCUUCAGAUUUCUCUGUGGAGUUGUUCUCCUUGUUUCUGCUCUCCAUGCUCAGAAAGGUCAAGGUUGAUAAAAUGAAGACUCUCCUUACUUCUGAGUUAUGCAUUUUAAAGGAAGAUGUCACUUUUAAGUAUGUAGUCCUGCGUUGGUGUGUGUUUCCUUUUUGUUGUAUUUACUGAAAUCUGUGCUGCCUUCUGCCAGGCUUUCAUGCAUCCUCAUGCUUCCAUUGUUUUUCAUCUACAAAGAGCUUAUAAUAGAGACAAAGCAG